rnacentral:rRNA from 1 species
CUACGGGCUGCACCAGUCGAGAAUCUUCCGCAAUGGGCGCAAGCCUGACGGAGCAAUGCCGCGUGAGGGAUGACGGCCCUAGGGUUGUAAACCUCUGUCAGAAGGGACGAAGAACGUGACGGUACCUUCAGAGGAAGCCAUGGCUAACUACGUGCCAGCAGCCGCGGUAAUACGUAGAUGGCGAGCGUUAUUCGGAUUUACUGGGCGUAAAGGGUCCGUAGGGGGUCUGCCAAGUCUGAUGCGAAAUCCUGCGGCUCAACCGCGGAACUGCAUUGGAAACUGGCGGACUAGAGUGUGCGAGGGGUGAGCGGAAUUCCUGGUGUAGCGGUGGAAUGCGUAGAUAUCAGGAAGAACACCGAUGGCGAAGGCGGCUCACUGGCGCAUCACUGACCCUGAGGGACGAAAGCGUGGGUAGCAAACAGGAUUAGAUACCCGAGUAGUC